rnacentral:rRNA from 1 species
UACGGAGGGAGCAAGCGUUGUCCGGAUUUACUGGGUGUAAAGGGUGCGUAGGCGGCUUUGCAAGUCAGAAGUGAAAUCCAUGGGCUUAACCCAUGAACUGCUUUUGAAACUGCAGAGCUUGAGUGGAGUAGAGGUAGGCGGAAUUCCCGGUGUAGCGGUGAAAUGCGUAGAGAUCGGGAGGAACACCAGUGGCGAAGGCGGCCGCCUGGCCUGUUGCUGACGCUGAGGCACGAAAGCGUGGGGAGCAAAUAGG